GUUAGGAAUAUUGGACAAUGGGGGCAACCCUGAUCCAGCCAUGCCGCGUGCGGGAAGAAGGCCUUCGGGUUGUAAACCGCUUUUGUCAGGGAAGAAAUCCUUUGGGUUAAUACCUCGGAGGGAUGACGGUACCUGAAGAAUAAGCACCGGCUAACUACGUGCCAGCAGCCGCGGUAAUACGUAGGGUGCGAGCGUUAAUCGGAAUUACUGGGCGUAAAGCGUGCGCAGGCGGUUUUGUAAGAUCGAUGUGAAAUCCCCGGGCUCAACCUGGGAACUGCAUUGGUGACUGCAAGGCUGGAGUGCGGCAGAGGGGGAUGGAAUUCCGCGUGUAGCAGUGAAAUGCGUAGAUAUGCGGAGGAACACCGAUGGCGAAGGCAAUCCCCUGGGCCUGCACUGACGCUCAUGCACGAAAGCGUGGGGAGCAAACAGGAUUAGAUACCCCUGUAGUCC
rnacentral:rRNA from 1 species